UGGUUUUGGUGCUUGAUUAUCAUUGUGAUAUUUGCUUUGUAGGACUUGCUAAACCUGCUCCUGUUAUAGAAACUUUUUGUACCGAUGAAUUAGUUUGGCAGCAUGUGAAACUUGAUGGAGUUGUUACUUUGGUUGAUUCCAAGCACGCAAUGCAACACCUUAAUGAAAUAAAACCAAGAUUUGUGGUUAACGAGGUUGUAGAAAAAAUUGCUUAUGCUGAUUGUAUUAUUUUUUAACAAGAUAGAUUUAGUGACUGAGGUUGAGCUGGAGAUAUUGACCUAGAGAAUUAAGCAUAUUAAUGGGAUGGCACAAAUGAAGCAAGCUAAGUUUGGAUCCGUUGACAUGGACUUUGUUCUUGGAGUGGGAGGUUAUGAUCUUGAUAGGUUGUUAGCUUGUCUCUAUGUUUCUGUGCCGUUCCGUUCCAUUCCAAUCUUUCUUUCCACUUCAUUCCAAUCUUCUUUUUAUUACUUGUCUUCAUGGAUAUAAUGCGAACGUGUUAAUGUGUUAAUUUGCAGGAUUGAUUCUGAAGUUCAGGUAGAUAAUUCAUGUUCUACAA